rnacentral:rRNA from 1 species
CGGACGGGUGAGUAACGCGUGGGUAACCUGCCUCACACUGGGGGAUAACAGUUAGAAAUAGCUGCUAAUACCGCAUAAGCGCACGGUUCCGCAUGGAACAGUGUGAAAAACUCCGGUGGUGUGAGAUGGACCCGCGCCUGAUUAGCCAGUUGGCGGGGUGACGGCCCACCAAAGCGACGAUCAGUAGCCGGCCUGAGAGGGUGAACGGCCACAUUGGGACUGAGACACGGCCCAA